GAUGAAGAACGCAGCGAAAUGGGAUAAGUAAUGUGAAUUGCAGAAUUCAGUGAAUCAUCGAAUCUUUGAACGCACAUUGCGCCCAUUAGUAUUCUAGUGGGCAUGCCUGUUCGAGCGUCAUUUCAACCCUUAAGCCUAGCUUAGUAUUGGGAAUCGACUUUACUGUCGUUCCUCAAAUUCAACGGCGGAUUUAUAGCAAUCUCUGAACGUAGUAAUUUUUUUCCUCGUUUUUGAAAUACUAUAAACCUCAGCCGCUAAACCCCCAAUUUUUCUAUGGUUGACCUCGGAUCAGGCAGGAAUACCCGCUGAACUUAAGCAUAUCAAUAAGCGGAGGA
rnacentral:misc_RNA from 1 species